rnacentral:rRNA from 1 species
AUUGAACGCUGGCGGCAGGCUUAACACAUGCAAGUCGAGCGGAGUGAUGGUGCUUGCACUAUCACUUAGCGGCGGGCGGGUGAGUAAUGCUUAGGAAUCUGCCUAUUAGUGGGGGACAACAUCUCGAAAGGGAUGCUAAUACCGCAUACGUCCUACGGGAGAAAGCAGGGGAUCACUGGUGACCUUGCGCUAAUAGAUGAGCCUAAGUCGGAUUAGCUAGUUGGUGGGGUAAAGGCCUACCAAGGCGACGAUCUGUAGCGGGUCUGAGAGGAUGAUCCGCCACACUGGGACUGAGACACGGCCCAGACUCCUACGGGAGGCAGCAGUGGGGAAUAUUGGACAAUGGGGGGAACCCUGAUCCAGCCAUGCCGCGUGUGUGAAGAAGGCCUUAUGGUUGUAAAGCACUUUAAGCGAGGAGGAGGCUCUUUUGGUUAAUACCCAAGAUGAGUGGACGUUACUCGCAGAAUAAGCACCGGCUAACUCUGUGCCAGCAGCCGCAGUAA